rfam:Lupinus angustifolius cultivar Tanjil chromosome LG02, whole genome shotgun sequence.
AGUUGCGAUCAUACCAGCACUAAUGCAUCGGAUCCCAUCAGAACUCCGCAGUUAAGCAUGCUUGGACGAGAGUAGUACUAGGAUGGGUGACCUCCUGGUAAGUCCUCGUGUUGCACCUC